rnacentral:rRNA from 1 species
UACGUAGGCAGCAAGCGUUGUUCGGAGUUACUGGGCGUAAAGGGCGCGCAGGCGGCAGAUCAAGUCAGACGUGAAAGCCCCGGGCUUAACCUGGGAACUGCGUUUGGGACUGGUUUGCUAGAGAUCGGGAGAGGAGAGUGGAAUUCCCAGUGUAGAGGUGAAAUGCGUAGAUAUCAGGAGGAACACCUGUGGCGAAAGCGGCUCACUGGACCAUAACUGACGCUGAUGCACGAAAGCUAGGGGAGCAAACAGG